rnacentral:tRNA from 1 species
GGAGAGAUGGCUCAGUGGUUAAGAGCACUUGGCUGCUCUUCCAGAGGACCUGGGUUCAGUUCCCAGCACCCUCA